UGGGGAAUAUUGGACAAUGGGCGCAAGCCUGAUCCAGCCAUGCCGCGUGAGUGAUGAAGGCCCUAGGGUUGUAAAGCUCUUUCACCGGUGAAGAUAAUGACGGUAACCGGAGAAGAAGCCCCGGCUAACUUCGUGCCAGCAGCCGCGGUAAUACGAAGGGGGCUAGCGUUGUUCGGAUUUACUGGGCGUAAAGCGCACGUAGGCGGACUAUUAAGUCAGGGGUGAAAUCCCGGGGCUCAACCCCGGAACUGCCUUUGAUACUGGUAGUCUUGAGUUCGAGAGAGGUGAGUGGAAUUCCGGGUGUAGAGGUGAAAUUCGUAGAGAUUCGGAGGAACACCAGUGGCGAAGGCGGCUCACUGGCUAGAUACUGACGCUGAGGUGCGAAAGCGUGGGGAGCAAACAGG
rnacentral:rRNA from 1 species